rnacentral:rRNA from 1 species
AUUGAACGCUGGCGGCAGGCCUAACACAUGCAAGUCGAGCGGAUGAAGGGAGCUUGCUCCUGGAUUCAGCGGCGGACGGGUGAGUAAUGCCUAGGAAUCUGCCUGGUAGUGGGGGAUAACGUCCGGAAACGGGCGCUAAUACCGCAUACGUCCUGAGGGAGAAAGUGGGGGAUCUUCGGACCUCACGCUAUCAGAUGAGCCUAGGUCGGAUUAGCUAGUUGGUGGGGUAAAGGCCUACCAAGGCGACGAUCCGUAACUGGUCUGAGAGGAUGAUCAGUCACACUGGAACUGAGACACGGUCCAGACUCCUACGGGAGGCAACAGUGGGGAAUAUUGGACAAUGGGCGAAAGCCUGAUCCAGCCAUGCCGCGUGUGUGAAGAAGGUCUUCGGAUUGUAAAGCACUUUAAGUUGGGAGGAAGGGCAGUAAGUUAAUACCUUGCUGUUUUGACGUUACCAACAGAAUAAGCACCGGCUAACCUCGUG